rfam:Plasmodium malariae genome assembly, contig: contig1665
UCCACAUGAUGAGAAAAGAAAACGGCAACACUUUAACUUAUAUUACUUUUAAUCUUUUAAAAGAAAAUAUAUAUAAAGUGGGUGAGCGUCAUAAGUGAGUAGUUUUCAAUCUGAUAGGG